rnacentral:lncRNA from 1 species
UGUUUCUGUGUUUGUUGGUGUUGAAAGUGUAUUUGUGAUUUGUGUAUAGGGUUUUUGAACGGUGUGUCUUUGAGCCCGAUGACAUAGAUGAUGGAGCAGAUGAGAUAUACAUCGAUUUAUAUAUUCAAGGGUACUUAGUAAAAGAUUACGGGAAAUUAUAAUUUUUAGUUUUCUGGAUACAUUAUGUCAGGAGGGAUCGUUGUCACAGCGGUUGGUGUUACUGCAGGAGGAUGUUAUGUGAAUGAGGUAGCAGUAAAUGGCAAAUUGUAACUUCCGAGAAUCGCUAAUUUCCAAUUAUGAACAAUUAACACUCUCCUCAUAUUUUGCAGUGUUCGACACAGGCGUACUAUAAUGAAAGACAUGGUAUUUAAUGAGGCUACAAAUGCUACUGAACGCUUGCGAAUCUAUCAUAUCUUAGAUUAAUAUCAAACUUACUUUACUGUUAUCUAGACCUAUUUGUUCUUUUUCAAAAAUAUAGGACAGGGCCAGCUGAGUUCCCCCUUCCUUGAUUCGGCCUGUGAGCAAUCCGUUAAUUAAUAGAUGGCAAGUUGAUGCAGUGAUAGAUCGGGUGUCUGAUACAUCAUGACCUGUUGGUUGCACAAAUGCGUGGAUUAUGUUCCACACACUGUCCGAGUGGAAUGUUUUAUGUUGCACGACUGUUAUGUUGAAGAACUGCUGGUACAGUCUUGGGAUGUUUUCUGUGUCAGCGCACAUACUCGGUAGCAGCGUUCCCAAAUGCAAAUACGGCAAUACACAGCUGCGGAUGGUAUAGGCCUAGUGAACGUUUGUUUGCCAUUGUCUUUUUCAUUACUGUUUCUAUUAUAUUUACAUAUCACAUUGCCUUUUGCAGUUUCUGUAAUAUUGUUUUUAUUGUUACGGUUUGUUUUUUCAUUUAUUUAUUUUUUGUUGAAUUGU